GACGAACGCUGGCGGCGUGCCUAAUACAUGCAAGUAGAACGCUGAAGGAGGAGCUUGCUUCUCUGGAUGAGUUGCGAACGGGUGAGUAACGCGUAGGUAACCUGCCUGGUAGCGGGGGAUAACUAUUGGAAACGAUAGCUAAUACCGCAUAAUAGUAGAUGUCGCAUGACAUUUGCUUAAAAGGUGCAAUUGCAUCACUACCAGAUGGACCUGCGUUGUAUUAGCUAGUUGGUGAGGUAACGGCUCACCAAGGCAACGAUACAUAGCCGACCUGAGAGGGGGAUCGGCCACACUGGGACUGAGACACGGCCCAGACUCCUACGGGAGGCAGCAGUAGGGAAUCUUCGGCAAUGGACGGAAGUCUGACCGAGCAACGCCGCGUGAGUGAAGAAGGUUUUCGGAUCGUAAAGCUCUGUUGUAAGAGAAGAACGAGUGUGAGAGUGGAAAGUUCACACUGUGACGGUAUCUUACCAGAAAGGGACGGCUAACUCCGUG
rnacentral:rRNA from 1 species